CCUACGGGGGGCAGCAGUGGGGAAUAUUGGGCAAUGGGCGCAAGCCUGACCCAGCAACGCCGCGUGAAGGAAGAAGGCUUUCGGGUUGUAAACUUCUUUUCUGAGGGACGAAGAAAGUGACGGUACCUCAGGAAUAAGCCACGGCUAACUACGUGCCAGCAGCCGCGGUAAUACGUAGGUGGCAAGCGUUAUCCGGAUUUAUUGGGUGUAAAGGGCGUGUAGGCGGGAAAGCAAGUCAGAUGUGAAAACUCAGGGCUCAACCCUGAGCCUGCAUUUGAAACUGUUUUUCUUGAGUGCUGGAGAGGCAAUCGGAAUUCCGUGUGUAGCGGUGAAAUGCGUAGAUAUACGGAGGAACACCAGUGGCGAAGGCGGAUUGCUGGACAGUAACUGACGCUGAUGCUCGAAAGCGCGGGUAUCGAACAGGAUUAGAUACCCGGGUAGUC
rnacentral:rRNA from 1 species